rnacentral:lncRNA from 1 species
AAUAAAUAUGUGUGCCAUCACACGCUGGCAUGGCCAUGGUCUGAAACCAACCACGUCCAACCAAAGAGAGGGAAUGAUUUUUCAAAGUUAUAAGAAGCACGAAGCUAGGAAGAUACACAAAUGAUAAGCAUAUGUGUCUCAUCGACCACACCGUUAAUCUGUCAUUAAUCAUGCAAGUCAACCUUGUUAACUAAUCCACCGAGAAACUGUACUCCUAAAAAGUCCUAACAAGGUUUAUGUUGGAGUCACAUUUCAUUGGAUUCUUAAGAAACAAUGCAAGGAAAACCCGAGACAAGAUCUAGAUUAACUCCCUAACAUUUUACAUGAUCCUACAUGAAUGUUCUAGGCUCUCCUACUCAAAAAAGACAUAAGGUUUUACCACUUGCAUGGGUGGUUAGCCAACUCGAAAAUAAUGAGAAAAGGACGUAUGGUUUUGUCGUCCAUUCGUCUUUCAUCGAAGCUUACUUAAGUUCCCACCUCCCUAUUUUCAUUUUAAUUUUUUCUUUUUCCACCUCUCUUUCUUUGAUUGUUUCCCUUGAAACCGCCUCAACUGCCCCACACUAAUCAUAAACCAAAUAUAAUAUUAUUUUUAUAUGAAAUUAUGUUUUAUCUGUUAAGACAAUAAGUGCUUAUCAAAUAAAAUCUGUUUCUACACAAUCACAUCAAUAUAGAUAGGUAAAUCUCUCACACAUACUAUAAUAUUUAUGCCUCCAUUGCAAUACAUGCGAAAUUUUCUAGUAUAUAUAAGGAACCACAACUACUUGGAUAAUGUUCUUGAAAACUACAAAGUUAAAGUCUUUUUUCCACUUAAUUACCCAUAGUGUAUGCCUUUGGUGGCGAACGAUGCUAACCCACCGUUGAUAUUCUAGACUAGCCUGGGAAACUGUCCGGGAUUGUCGUGAGGUGAUUCA